UGCCCCAAUUCCCCAAUAUUGUGCCUCAGUUUCCCCAUUUUGUGCCUCAGUUUCCCCAUUUUGUGCCUCAGUUUCCCCAUUUUGUACCUUCCUUUUGAUGUCGUGCCUCAGUUUCCCCACAUUGUGCCCCCAUUUUCCCAGUUUCCCUCCGUUUUCUCCACGUUGUGCCUCAUUUUCCCCAGGUAGUCCCUUUAUUUCCCCUCUUUGUGCCUCAGUUUCUCCACUUCGUGCCUCAUUUUCCCCACGUAGUUCCUUUAUUUCCCCAAUUUCCUUCUUCUGUGCCUCAAUUUCCCCUUUUUAUGCCCCUAUUCCCCAUUUUGUGCCUCAGUUUUCCCAUGUAAUUCCUUAAUUUCUUCGUUGUUCCUCAGUUUCCCCACGUUGUGCCUCAUUUUCCUCAGGCAUUUCCUCAAUUUCUUCACGUCGUGCCCCAAUUUCCCAAUAUCGUGCCUCAGGUUCCCCCUUUUUCACCUCAUUCCCCCUUUUUGUGCCUCAGUUUCCCCCUUUUCCCCACUUUCUGUGCCUCAAUUUCCCUUUUUUUCCCCUCAUUCUCUUUUUUCCUGUUUCCCCUUUUUUUCAUCAUUCCCCUUCUUGUGCCUCAGUUUCCCCUUUUUACCCAAUUUCCCACUUUCUGUGCCUCAAUUUCCCUUUUUUCCCCUCAUUCCCUUUUUUCCUGUUUCCCCUUUUUUUACCUCAUUCCCCCUUUUUGUGCCUCAGUUUCCCCCAUUUUACCCAAUUUCCCACUUUCUGUGCCUCAUUUCCCCUUUUUUCCUCCUCAUUCCCUUUUUCCCUCAUUCCCCUUCUUGUACCUCAGUUUCCCCUUUUAACCCAAUUUCCCAUUUUUGUGCCUCAUGUUCCCCUUUUUACCCAAUUUCCCUCUUUCUGUGCCUCAAUUUCCCUUUUUUUCCCCUCAUUCCCUUUUUUACCCAAUUUCCCCUUUUUGUGCCUCAGUUUCCCCUUUUUACUCACUUUCCCACUUUCUGUGCCUCAUUUCCCCUUUUUUCCCCCUCAUUCCCCUUUUUACCCAAUUUCUUCUUUCUGUGCCUCAGUUUCCCCCUUUACCCAAUUUCCCCUUUUUGUGCCUCAGUUUCCCCUUUUUUACCCAAUUUCCCCUUUUUGUGCCUCAGUUUCCCCUUUUUUACCUGAUUCCCUUUUUUACGCCUCGGUUUCCCUUUUUUUACCUCCCCCCCUUUUUUAUGGCCGUUUCCCCCCGUGGCUCCGGGGGUGACCCCAAAAUCAGGUCCCUCCCCCCAUUCCCUGUGUCCCCCCAUUCCCCUCCAAGGGGAAACUGAGGCACGUCCCGACGCUCCCAAACCUCCUUUAACCUUCGGGGUCGCCCCUCCCGGUCCCCACAGACGUGGCCGCGGUGCCGGUUCCCGGGGGGACCCCCCCGGUGUCGGGGGACCCCCGUGUGACCCCCCCGGGGCCGGGGGACCCCCCCGAGCCGCCCCCCGGUGCCACCAUCCCGCUGUACUGUGCCCUCCUCGCCGCCGUCGUCGUGGGGCUCGUCGCCUACGUGGCCUUCAAGUGUUGGGACACGUGCAGGAAGAAGCGGCAGCUGGACAAGGCGCGGGACGCGGGGGAUGCGGGAAUGUCGCCGGACGGGGAGAAGCUCCGGGGGGACAGCGGGGUCUUCCUGGACACCCCCGGCCCGCAGGAGCCUCCCCAGCACGCCCCCCCCGAGGGGCCGCCCCCGCUCCCGGUGUCCCCGCGGCGGCAGGAGGAGCUGGAGCGGCUGCUGGAGCUGGGGGGCACCGCGGGGACAGCGGGGGAUGUCACCUCCGCCGUGUGACACCCCCGGCGCCGCGUCCAGCUGGAUUCCAGGGGGGGUUAAAGGGGUUUUGUACUUUUAUAGGGAUUCGGGGGGGGGGGACGGGGGUGUUUGGUGGCCUCACUGU